ensembl:snRNA U6 U6 spliceosomal RNA
AUGCUCGCUUUGGCGGUAUAUAUACUAAAAUGGGAACAAUACAGAGAAGAUUAGCAUGGCC